rnacentral:rRNA from 1 species
UNUGACUUGAGUGCAGAAGGGGAGAGUGGAAUUCCAUGUGUAGCGGUGAAAUGCGUAGAUAUAUGGAGGAACACCAGUGGCGAAAGCGGCUCUCUGGUCUGUCACUGACGCUGAGGCUCGAAAGCGUGGGUAGCGAACAGGAUUAGAUACCCUGGUAGUCCACGCCGUAAACGAUGAGUGCUAGGUGUUAGGCCCUUUCCGGGGCUUAGUGCCGGAGCUAACGCAAUAAGCACUCCGCCUGGGGAGUACGACCGCAAGGUUGAAACUCAAAGGAAUUGACGGGGGCCCGCACAAGCGGUGGAGCAUGUGGUUUAAUUCGAAGCAACGCGAAGAACCUUACCAGGUCUUGACAUCCCGAUGCUAUUCUUAGAGAUAGGAAGUUACUUCGGUACAUCGGAGACAGGCGGUGCAUGGUUGUCGUCAGCUCGUGUCGUGAGAUGUUGGGUUAAGUCCCGCAACGAGCGCAACCCUUAUUGUUAGUUGCCAUCAUUAAGUUGGGCACUCUAGCGAGACUGCCGGUAAUAAACCGGAGGAAGGUGGGGAUGACGUCAAAUCAUCAUGCCCCUUAUGACCUGGGCUACACACGUGCUACAAUGGUCGGUACAACGAGUUGCGAGCCGGUGACGGCAAGCUAAUCUCUGAAAGCCGAUCUCAGUUCGGAUUGGAGGCUGCAACUCGCCUCCAUGAAGUCGGAAUCGCUAGUAAUCGCGGAUCAGCACGCCGCGGUGAAUACGUUCCCGGGCCUUGUACACACCGCCCGUCACACCACGAGAGUUUGUAACACCCGAAGUCGGU